AUGCGAUAAGUAAUGUGAAUUGCAGAAUUCAGUGAAUCAUCGAAUCUUUGAACGCACAUUGCGCCCGCUGGUAUUCCGGCGGGCAUGCCUGUUCGAGCGUCAUUUCAACCCUCAAGCCCCCGGGUUUGGUGUUGGGGAUCGGCUCUGCCUUACGGCGGUGCCGCCCCCGAAAUACAUUGGCGGUCUCGCUGCAGCCUCCAUUGCGUAGUAGCUAACACCUCGCAACUGGAACGCGGCGCGGCCAUGCCGUAAAACCCCAACUUCUGAAUGUUGACCUCGGAUCAGGUAGGAAUACCCGCUGAACUUAA
rnacentral:misc_RNA from 1 species